GACGAACGCUGGCGGCGUGCCUAAUACAUGCAAGUAGAACGCUGAAGAGAGGAGCUUGCUCUUCUUGGAUGAGUUGCGAACGGGUGAGUAACGCGUAGGUAACCUGCCUUGUAGCGGGGGAUAACUAUUGGAAACGAUAGCUAAUACCGCAUAACAAUGGAUGACACAUGUCAUUUAUUUGAAAGGGGCAAUUGCUCCACUACAAGAUGGACCUGCGUUGUAUUAGCUAGUAGGUGAGGUAACGGCUCACCUAGGCGACGAUACAUAGCCGACCUGAGAGGGGGAUCGGCCCAACUGGGACUGGGACACGGGCCAGACUCCUACGGGAGGCAGCAGGAGGGAAUCGUCGGCAAUGGGGGCAACCCUGACCGAGCAACGCCGCGUGAGUGAAGAAGGUUUUCGGAUCGGAAAGCUCUGUUGUAAGUCAAGAACGAGAGUGGGAGUGGAAAGUUCACACUGUGACGGUAGCUUACCAGAAAGGGACGGCUAACUACGUG
rnacentral:rRNA from 1 species